rnacentral:misc_RNA from 1 species
AAGUCGUAACAAGGUUUCCGUAGGUGAACCUGCGGAAGGAUCAUUAACGAGUUCUUGAACGGGUUGUAGCUGGCUCUUUUUUAGGAGCAUGUGCACGCCUGGCUCAAUUCCACUCCUUAACCUCUGUGCACUUAUUGUAGGUCGGUGGAGGCUGGCGCAAGUCAGUUUGAAGCCUUCCUAUGUUUUAUUACAAACAUAUCAGUUAUAGAAUGUCUUACUUUGCUAUAAUGCAAUUAUAUACAACUUUCAGCAACGGAUCUCUUGGCUCUC